UACGCAGGGGGCUAGCGUUACUCGGAUUGACUGGGCGUAAAGGGCGCGUAGGCGGAUGGUACAGUCAGACGUGAAAUUCCUGGGCUCAACCUGGGGGCUGCGUUUGAUACGUGCUGUCUGGAGUUCGGAAGAGGGUCGUGGAAUUCCCAGUGUAGAGGUGAAAUUCGUAGAUAUUGGGAAGAACACCGGUGGCGAAGGCGGCGACCUGGUCCGAUACUGACGCUGAGGCGCGAAAGCGUGGGGAGCAAACAGG
rnacentral:rRNA from 1 species